rnacentral:lncRNA from 1 species
CAGUGAUGCACUGCAUUCCACUGUCUGAUUUUAAAACCUCUGUAGGGAAGUUGCUGUAAGAAACUGAAAUGCAAUUUCCUUGCAAUAAAAUUCUUUCUUAGUCAUGACCCAGCCCUAAAGGGUUAUGGGCUCCGGCAAGCAGUUAGUUACUCACUCUCUCCUUUCUGGUCUAAAUUGGGUUGGAAUAUAUAUCAAAGGAAGCCAGAAAGUGGUUGGGGAGAUUAAAAAAAACAACAACAACAACGUUUAGACUGAAUGUCUUGACGGUCCAUCCAUUCACUUCUGCUUUGAAAAUGGCAUUGUUAUGAGAAAAGUCAUUUUAUUUUCAUUCUUAAAAGGACUUCAUGCAUGAGAUUGCCACUUCACAGAGUAUUUAUCAAACAUGGACAAGCUUAUUUUUAAUCACUGUGUUGAAAGGCAGAAAUUACUUCAUCAGAUUCGUUUUGCUGCUACCUCAAAGACCUAACUGCAGCACCUCAAAGAAAUGAGAAAUUUCAUGAGUAGAGGAAGGAAAGGAACCAGGGAGAUCAGAAAAGACCAGGAUGAAAGAUAAAGGUGACCCUAGAAGCAUGGCCAUAAACUACCUCAAGAAUGGACAUCUUCAACCAAGUCAAUUAGCAGCAACUGUCCAAAUAUCUGGAACAAGAACAGCAAGAACAGUAGCUGUUGCUCAGAACACAAAAGAGAAGAUAAGCCCAAAAGAUAGACUGUGUGAACUGAACAGGCUUCUUCACAGCCUUUCCCACACUUGCUGGUAUCACAGAGGUGAUGCAACCUGAGGCUCAAGCAUGAUAUCAAUGCCCAACUGAUGCUGCAUGAAGUAACACUCACUCUUCUGUGGAUACUGGAACAGAUGCUUUUGGUGCUCACAUUACAUCCCUGGACCCCCUUCUGAAUCCUGUGCAGUUGUGUGGACAGUUCCAUGUAGGCUUUUUGCUCUUCUGCCUCAGGGCUUUCAUCAAAGUCAGGGCAGCCUAGUCAGCUCAGAAAGCGAGUGUGGGGGAGCUUUGCAGUGAAAGCUAAGCUACCAGGGGCAACUCUCAACCCAUGACGGGUGGAGCUACAACAUUAUUUUAGUCUGCACAGUUAAGUCACAAAAGGUGAAGCAUAAAGACAGAAAGGCAAAUAUUAGGACAAAACACAUAAUCAUCCAAAAUUUGGAUGGUGCCAGGGAAAGGAAUGAGAAAUGGAACAAUAUGUAUUUUGUCAUUGCUUAUAGUAAGGAAUUAACAGUCUUUCAAAAGAAAUACAGGAUUAAGGACAUUGUAUAAUGUCAAUCAUACAGAACAAAUAUGAAAACCUUUUAAGUCAUAAGAAUUAAGAUAGCCACAAAGCAAAGAAAAUACAGAUCUUAUAGAAAACCAUACAAAGUAAGAAUAAAAACUGAGAUGAAGGUGGUGUAAAAUAUUACAUACUUCUAAGAUCAAACAUUAUUUUCACAUUAAUAAAUGUAUUAAUGGACAAAUUUGCCUAUUCAAAAUCCCAAAAAAAGAUUUUUUUUUUUGGAAAUUGUAAAGCUAAAUUUAAUUGUAGGCUUUAUACAACAGAUACUUAAAACAAAAAAACAAAAUAAGAAAAGUUGUAAAUUAAAUUAUGGGAAAAUGCAUGUGAGAAAAAUGCAAGCAAACAAUUAGGAAAGCAGGGGUUACAACCUUAGUAUUAGAAAAAGUAAAUAGGA